ensembl:lncRNA
GUCGGGGACUUCCUGACCCCUGGCCGGGGGGCCCGGGGGGGCCGGACCCGGGGACGGGACCGGGAUCAGCGGCAGAGCUACAGCAUGCACGACAACCGCUGGGAGGGAGAGCGGGAGGAUGAGGCCCGAGAGAAGAGGGACAAACCCAAGAGAGAGGACGAGGAGGAGAGGAGGGAGGUGAAGGAGGAGGAGAAGAGGCCCAAAGCGGCCCCGCCACAGAAGGAAGCCAGGCGGGGCGAGGCGGAGGAAGACGAGGACGAGUGGGAGGACGCCAGCGAUGGGGAGGACGGGGGCUCGGACGACGACGAAGGAGGAAGCAGCGAGGAGGGCGACCAGGAGGAGAAGAGGGACGCGGGGAAGGAGGAGACCGCCGCUGCCGCCGCCGCCGCC